CCCAAGGUAGCUCAGCGGCAGAGCAUCCGGCUCAUAACCGGAAGGACGCGGGUUCGAAUCCCGCCCUUGGAA
rnacentral:tRNA from 1 species